rnacentral:rRNA from 1 species
UACAGAGGAGCCAAGCGUUGUCCGGAUUGACUGGGCGUAAAGCGCACGCAGGCGGUUUGGCGCGUGGGGUGUGAAAUCUGGCCGCUUAACGGCCAGGCGCCAUCCCAUACGGCGAAACUGGAGUGAUGCAGAGGUCGAUGGAAUUGCCGGUGUAGUGGUGAAAUGCGUAGAUAUCGGGAGGAACACCUGUGGCGAAAGCGGCUCACUGGACCACAACUGACGCUGAGGCGCGAAAGCUAGGGGAGCAAACAGG